rnacentral:rRNA from 1 species
GACGAACGCUGGCGGCGUGCCUAAUACAUGCAAGUCGAACGCAGUGGGGACGGGUGAGUAACACGUGGGUAACCUCCCAUCAGAGGGGAUAACACUUGGAAACAGGUGCUAAACCGAUACUUCUGGAUGAACCCCCUGUGCAUUAGCUAGUUGGUGAGGUAACGGCUCACCAAGGCCACGAUGCAUAGCCGACCUGAGAUGGGGAUCGGCCACACUGGGACUGAGCCACGGCCCAGACUCCUCGGGGAGGCAGCAGUAGGGAAGCUUCGGCAAUGGACGAAAGGCGGACCGAGCAACGCCGCGGGAGUGAAGAAGGUUUUCGGAGCGUAAAACUCUGUUGUUAGAGAAGCGGUAACGAACCAGAAAGCCACGGCUAACUACGUGCCAGCCGCCGCGGUAAUUC